GUGGAAUCGUAGCCUAGAUCAACUCCCAGACUGACUCCUGGCCUGAGCUGCACUUGAACCCUCGCUAGUAGCAGGCUGUGAGGCAUGAAGCCGUGGGAGCCGCUCCUCUUCUUGUCUGGAAGGCUUAGAACCUCGCCACCAACGUGGGUGUGAGCCCGUACUUCCCACCAGCUCAUCUUCAACACUUCAACCUGUUAAGGCUCUGAAAUUGCAAGCAAAUCAACAAUUGAAUGAGGACGGCUUUAUGCCUAGCAAUCUCCUGAGCUGGGAAGGAAGGAAUAAACCAGAUCUGGGAGAGAAAAUACGGAGAAGUUUAACUUGAAAGAGGUGAUUGCAGCUCGAGC